GGUCUGUUUUAGUGGUUUGAGUGUUGAACUUCGACUUCAAAGUCCAGGUUUCAAAUCCCUGCUUGGCCA
rnacentral:tRNA from 1 species